AUUGAACGCUGGCGGCAUGCUUUACACAUGCAAGUCGAACGGUAACAGGCCGCAAGGUGCUGACGAGUGGCGAACGGGUGAGUAAUGCAUCGGAACGUGCCCAGUCGUGGGGGAUAACGCAGCGAAAGCUGCGCUAAUACCGCAUACGAUCUAUGGAUGAAAGCGGGGGACCGUAAGGCCUCGCGCGAUUGGAGCGGCCGAUGUCAGAUUAGGUAGUUGGUGGGGGAAAGGCUCACCAAGCCAACGAUCUGUAGCUGGUCUGAGAGGACGACCAGCCACACUGGGACUGAGACACGGCCCAGACUCCUACGGGAGGCAGCAGUGGGGAAUUUUGGACAAUGGGCGCAAGCCUGAUCCAGCAAUGCCGCGUGCAGGAAGAAGGCCUUCGGGUUGUAAACUGCUUUUGUACGGAACGAAACGGUCCUGGUUAAUACCCGGGGCUAAUGACGGUACCGUAAGAAUAAGCACCGGCUAACUACGUGCCAGCCGCCGCCGUAAGAC
rnacentral:rRNA from 1 species